rnacentral:rRNA from 1 species
UCCAGACUCCUACGGGAGGCAGCAGUGGGGAAUAUUGGGCAAUGGGCGCAAGCCUGACCCAGCAACGCCGCGUGAAGGAAGAAGGCUUUCGGGUUGUAAACUUCUUUUCUCAGGGACGAAGCAAGUGACGGUACCUGAGGAAUAAGCCACGGCUAACUACGUGCCAGCAGCCGCGGUAAUACGUAGGUGGCAAGCGUUGUCCGGAUUUACUGGGUGUAAAGGGCGUGCAGCCGGAGAGGCAAGUCAGAUGUGAAAUCCGCGGGCUCAACUCGCGAACUGCAUUUGAAACUGCUUCCCUUGAGUAUCGGAGAGGUAAUCGGAAUUCCUAGUGUAGCGGUGAAAUGCGUAGAUAUUAGGAAGAACACCAGUGGCGAAGGCGGAUUACUGGACGACAACUGACGGUGAGGCGCGAAAGCGUGGGGAGCAAACAGGAUUAGAUACCCCAGUA